GACGUAGGGCGCGAGUGUUGUCCGGAUUUAUUGGGCGUAAAGAGCUCGUAGGCGGCUUGUCGCGUCGACUGUGAAAUCCCGCGGCUCAACUGCGGGUCUGCAGUCGAUACGGGCAGGCUAGAGUUCGGUAGGGGAGACUGGAAUUCCUGGUGUAGCGGUGAAAUGCGCAGAUAUCAGGAGGAACACCGAUGGCGAAGGCAGGUCUCUGGGCCGAUACUGACGCUGAGGAGCGAAAGCGUGGGGAGCGAACAGG
rnacentral:rRNA from 1 species